UACGUAGGGGGCAAGCGUUGUCCGGAUUUAUUGGGCGUAAAGAGCGUGUAGGCGGCCAGACAGGUCUGCUGUGAAAACUCGAGGCUCAACCUCGAGACGCCGGUGGAAACCGUCUGGCUAGAGUCCGGAAGAGGAGAGUGGAAUCCUGGUGUAGCGGUGAAAUGCGCAGAUAUCAGGAAGAACACCCGUGGCUAAGGCGGCUCUCUAGUACGGUACUGACGCUGAGACGCGAAAGCGUGGGGAGCGAACAGG
rnacentral:rRNA from 1 species